GACGAACGCUGGCGGCGUGCCUAACACAUGCAAGUCGAACGGAAAGGCCUGCUUUCCCUUGUGGAUUGCGGGUACUCGAGUGGCGAACGGGUGAGUAACACGUGAGUGAUCUGCCCCCAACUUUGGUAUAAGCCUGGGAAACUGGGUCUAAUUCCCGAUAGGACUGCAGGGUGGUGCCUGUGGUGGAAAACGAUUUUCUAGUGGUUGGGGAUGAGCUCGCGGCCUAUCAGCUUGUUGGUGGGGUAAUGGCCUACCAAGGCGGCGACGGGUAGCCGGCCUGAGAGGGUGGACGGCCACAUUGGGACUGAGAUACGGCCCAGACUCCUACGGGAGGCAGCAGUGGGGGAUAUUGCACAAUGGGCGGAAGCCUGAUGCAGCGACGCCGCGUGGGGGAUGGCGGCCUUCGGGUUGUAAACUCCUUUCGACCGCGAGGAAGCCACCUGGUUGGAAGGGUGGUGACGGUAGUGGUAGAAGAAGCACCGGCUAACUACGUG
rnacentral:rRNA from 1 species